CUACGGAGACACAAAAAAGCACAGUCGAGUGCUCAAAACAAACCCUUGACUCAGACGUUGCAAGAGGCUUUUGCCCGCGGCACACUAUAUGGCAAAGAAUCACGAAGAUGGAAGGAGAUAAGAGCUGCCAUGUCAACUUACAUCUGCAAAGACAUGGCCCCAAUUUACACGGUCGAGAAACUGUGUGUUGGUGCUAACACUCAACCCAAGGUACCAAAUGCAAAUUGAUAUGUGACACAUUAAUGCCAAAA